AGUGAACGCUGGCGGUAGGCCUAACACAUGCAAGUCGAACGGCAGCACAGUAAGAGCUUGCUCUUACGGGUGGCGAGUGGCGGACGGGUGAGGAAUACAUCGGAAUCUACUUUUUCGUGGGGGAUAACGUAGGGACACUUACGCUAAUACCGCAUACGACCUACGGGUGAAAGCAGGGGAUCUUCGGACCUUGCGCGAUUGAAUGAGCCGAUGUCGGAUUAGCUAGUUGGCGGGGUAAAGGCCCACCAAGGCGACGAUCCGUAGCUGGUCUGAGAGGAUGAUCAGCCACACUGGAACUGAGACACGGUCCAGACUCCUACGGGAGGCAGCAGUGGGGAAUAUUGGACAAUGGGCGCAAGCCUGAUCCAGCCAUACCGCGUGGGUGAAGAAGGCCUUCGGGUUGUAAAGCCCUUUUGUUGGGAAAGAAAAGCAGCAGGUUAAUACCCCGCUGUUCUGACGGUACCCAAAGAAUAAGCACCGGCUAACUUCGUG
rnacentral:rRNA from 1 species